rnacentral:rRNA from 1 species
AUUGAACGCUGGCGGCAUGCCUUACACAUGCAAGUCGAACGGUAACAGGUCUUCGGAUGCUGACGAGUGGCGAACGGGUGAGUAAUACAUCGGAACGUGCCUAGUAGUAGGGGAUAACUACUCGAAAGAGUGGCUAACACCGCAUGAGAUCUACGGAUGAAAGCAGGGGAUCGCAAGACCUUGUGCUACUAGAGCGGCCGAUGGCAGAUUAGGUAGUUGGUGGGAUAAAAGCUUACCAAGCCGACGAUCUGUAGCUGGUCUGAGAGGACGAUCAGCCACACUGGGACUGAGACACGGCCCAGACUCCUACGGGAGGCAGCAGUGGGGAAUUUUGGACAACGGGCGAAAGCCUGAUCCAGCAAUGCCGCGUGCAGGAUGAAGGCCUUCGGGUUGUAAACUGCUUUUGUACGGAACGAAAAGCCCCGGGUUAAUACCCUGGGGUCAUGACGGUACCGUAAGAAUAAGCACCGGCUAACUACGUGCCAGCCGCCGCAGUAA